AUUGAACGCUGGCGGCAGGCCUAACACAUGCAAGUCGAACGCGUGGCGGACGGGUGAGUAAUGUCUGGGAAACUGACUGAUGGAGGGGGAUAACUACUGGAAACGGUAGCUAAUCCCGCAUACCAUCAGAUGUGCCCAGAUGGGAUUAGCUUGUUGGUGGGGUAAAGGCGCAACAAGGCGACGAUCCCUAGCUGGUCUGAGAGGAUGACCAGCCACACUGGGACUGGGACACGGUCCGGAAUCCUACGGGAGGCAGAAGUAGUGAAUAUUGCACGAUGGGAGCAAGCCUGAUGCAGCCAUGCCGCGUGUAUGAAGAAGGCCAUCGGGUUGUAAAGUACUUUCAGCGGGGAGGCGUUACCCGCAGAAGAAGCACCGUGUAACUCCGUUCCAGCCGCCGCGGUAAUAC
rnacentral:rRNA from 1 species